ACGAACGCUGGCGGCGUGCCUAAUACAUGCAAGUCGAACGAACCGCGACUAGGUGCUUGCACUUGGUCAAGGUGAGUGGCGAACGGGUGAGUAACACGUGGGUAACCUACCUCAUAGUGGGGGAUAACAGUCGGAAACGACUGCUAAUACCGCAUAGGACAUAGGAUCACAUGAUCCAGUGAGGAAAGGUGGCGCAAGCUAUCGCUAAGAGAUGGACCCGCGGUGCAUUAGCUAGUUGGUAGGGUAAAGGCCUACCAAGGCGAUGAUGCAUAGCCGACCUGAGAGGGUGAUCGGCCACAUUGGGACUGAGACACGGCCCAAACUCCUACGGGAGGCAGCAGUAGGGAAUCUUCCGCAAAGGACGCAAGUCUGACGGAGCAACGCCGCGUGAGUGAAGAAGGUCUUCGGAUCGUAAAGCUCUGUUGUUAGAGAAGAACAGCGCAUAGAGUAACUGUUAUGCGUGUGACGGUAUCUAACCAGAAAGCCGCGGCUAACUACGUG
rnacentral:rRNA from 1 species